rnacentral:rRNA from 1 species
AUUGAACGCUAGCGGGAUGCUUUACACAUGCAAGUCGAACGAGUGGCGGACGGGUGAGUAAUAUAACGGAACGUGCCAAGUAGAGGGGGAUAACUACCCGGAAGAGUGGCUAAUACCGCAUACAAUUGGAACGGACGAUAUCGGAGUAGCUAGUAGGUGGUGUAAAGGCGCACCAAUGACACGAUCCGUAGCUGGUUUGAGAGGACGACCAACCACACUGGGGCUGAGACACGGCCCAGACUCCUACGGGAGUCAUCAUGGGUGAAUUUUGGACAAUGGGGGAAACCCUGAUCCAGCCAUCCCGCUUGUAUGAGAAGGCCUGCGGGUUGUAACGUACUUUUGGCAGAGAAGCGGUAUCUGCAGAAUAAGCACCGGCUAACUCCGGGCCAGCAGCCGCGGUAAUUC